AAUUAUGUAGUUGGCAGCAUUGAUCAUCAAUAGAGGGCGCUGUGUUAAAUACCUUGAAACCGGAAAAAGAUCACUCGGCCAUUUGCACAGUGAACGUUGCAGGAGGUUUAUCGUCUCGCGAAAAAAGCUUGACGAACAAUGGUGAACGGGAGAAUUCCUUCGGUCUUUUCGAAGACAUACGUUACUCCUCGGAGACCGUAUGAAAAAGCGCGACUCGAUCAAGAAUUGCGCAUUAUUGGAGAAUAUGGUCUCAGAAAUAAAAGGGAAGUUUGGCGGGUUAAAUACACUUUAGCAAAAAUCCGAAAAGCAGCUCGUGAACUUUUGACCCUGGAAGAAAAAGAUCAAAAACGUCUUUUCGAAGGAAAUGCAUUGCUGAGACGUUUAGUACGCAUUGGCGUAUUAGAUGAAACCAGAAUGAAACUCGAUUAUGUACUUGGUUUGAAGAUUGAAGACUUUUUAGAGAGACGUUUACAAACUCAGGUUUUUAAACUUGGAUUGGCAAAGUCAAUUCAUCAUGCCCGAGUUCUCAUUCGACAACGUCACAUUAGAAUCUGCUCAUGAGGGCGAUAUUGAUCGUGAAUGGUGAUCGAGUAAAAAAUAGUCUGGACCUUAAUUGGUCCAGCUUUUCAAUAAGACCACUUAAACUUAAAAUGUUUAACGUCUAACAAGUUUGGAGUUUCUGUUGAUCUUUUGAUCACAACUUUUCAGUCAGACCACUUAAACUUGAAAAGUUUAACGUCUUGACAAAAUGUUGGAGGUUUAUACAGUCCUUUGAUAUUGAGUAAGGAAGCAAGUGGUGAACAUUCCUUCGUUCAUAGUGAGACUUGAUUCUCAAAAGCAUAUUGACUUUUCAUUGAAGUCACCAUUUGGUGGUGGUCGUCCUGGACGUGUAAAGAGGAAAAAUAUGCGCAAGGGAAGCGGUGGCGCAGCAGCCGAAGAGGAAGAAGAUUAAUUUUUAAAAUUGGAGGAUUCUUUACAAUUGAGGAAUGUUCCAAUAAAUUGCAAAACAAUAUUCAA